rnacentral:rRNA from 1 species
GACGAACGCUGGCGGCGUGCUUAACACAUGCAAGUCGUACGGUAAGGCCCUUUCGGGGGUACACGAGUGGCGAACGGGUGAGUAACACGUGAGUAACCUGCCCACAACUUUGGGAUAACGCUAGGAAACUGGUGCUAAUACUGGAUAUGUGCUCCUGCUGCAUGGUGGGGGUUGGAAAGCUCCCGGGGUUGUGGGUGGACUCGUGGCCUAUCGGCUUGUUGGUGGGGUAGUGGCCUACCAGGGCGGCAGCGGGUAGCCGCCCUGUGAGGGUGACCGGCCACACUGGGACUGAGGGACGGCACAGACUCCGACGGGCGGCAGCAGGGGGGAAUAGUGCACAAUGGGCGCCAGCCUGAUGCAGCAAAGCCGCGUGCGGGAUGACGGCCUUCGGGUUGUAAACCGCUAUCAGCAGAGACGAAGCUUUUUGUGACGGUACCUGCAGAAGAAGCACCGGCUAACUACAUG